ACGGGUGAGUAAUACAUCGGAACGUAUCCUGGAGUGGGGGAUAGCCCGGCGAAAGCCGGAUUAAUACCGCAUACGCUCUGAGGAGGAAAGCGGGGGACCUUCGGGCCUCGCGCUCAAGGGGCGGCCGAUGGCGGAUUAGGUAGUUGGUGGGGUAAAGGCCUACCAAGCCGACGAUCCGUAGCUGGUCUGAGAGGACGACCAGCCACACUGGGACUGAGACACGGCCCAGACUCCUACGGGAGGCAGCAGUGGGGAAUUUUGGACAGUGGGGGCAACCCUGAUCCAGCAAUGCCGCGUGUGUGAAGAAGGCCUUCGGGUUGUAAAGCACUUUUGUCCGGAAAGAAAUCAUCGGGGCCAAUACCCCUGGUGGAUGACGGUACCGGAAGAAUAAGCACCGGCUAACUACGUGCCAGCAGCCGCGGUAAUACGUAGGGUGCGAGCGUUAAUCGGAAUUACUGGGCGUAAAGCGUGCGCAGGCGGUGCUGUAAGACCGAUGUGAAAUCCCCGGGCUUAACCUGGGAACUGCAUUGGUGACUGCAGCGCUGGAGUAUGGCAGAGGGGGGUGGAAUUCCACGU
rnacentral:rRNA from 1 species